AUGAAGAGAUUUGUCUUAGGUCUUCAGGACGUCAAAAUCCUACCUGAAAUGACGUCUACGAUGCACUAGUCUUGUAGAUGGUCGUCGACGAUCUACAAGACUAGUGCGGAUCGAAGAUGUUUUAAGGCUUCUGUGACGUCAAAAU